AUACCCUACUAUGCUUAACCAUAAACUUUGUUAAAACCCAUACUAUUUUACCCGCCCGAGUACUACAAGCGCUAGCUUUAAACCCAAAGGACUUGGCGGUGCCCCAGACCCCCCUAGAGGAGCCUGUUCUAUAACCGAUAAUCCUCGUUUAACCUCACCACUUCUUGCCAUUAACCGCCUAUAUACCGCCGUCGUCAGCUCACCCCAUGAGGGAACAAAAGUAAGCAAAAUGAAUUAAAUCUCCAACACGUCAGGUCGAGGUGUAGCGAAUGAAGUGGAAAGAAAUGGGCUACAUUUUUUACCAAAAAAAAUAAAACGAACAGCACAAUGAAAAACUGCUUAAAGGUGGAUUUAGCAGUAAGAAAAUCUUAGAAUACUAUUCUGAAACUGGCUCUGAGGCGCGCACACACCGCCCGUCACUCUCCUCAACACAAACAUCUCCAUACAUAAACAAGCUCUUUACCAAAGAGGAGGCAAGUC
rnacentral:rRNA from 1 species